AUUUUGUAAGAUUUCGGGGUGUGGUGGGGGAAUAAAUUUCAGACAUAAAAUCCGAUGUAUUUCGUAGGCCUUAAGUAAAAUGCGAAAGUAAAACAUCUUAUUCAAUUAUGAAAUUCCGCGUAACAUGAAAUUUGACGGAGCUGUAGACAAAUUUGCACCAAGCAUUCGUUAGACGUUCAAAAUGAACAGAUCGGUCUUCGCGUAUCGUGCCGUUUUUUGAUAACAGGAUCUUGUAUGUUUGAAAAUAUUAUUCUGCAUGCUGUUUCGUAGAAGAUAGGUCACAAAUAUGAAUCGUUUUUUGAAAAUGCGAGGAAAAGCAGAACUUAUAUCCUUCUAUACAAAAAUUAAACUGGCUUAUUGCCAUUACCGCGUUCUGAAGACAAACUGUGGCAAAUGGUUGACAGGAAAUGGAGAACCACUUCUCAGAACCAUCCGCUGUCUCAUUGACUAUAUACCUAGACAUGUUGUUUCUUAAACUCAAAUGAAUUGAGUUUACUUAAAAAAAAAAAAAAAAAAAAAAAAAAAAAAAAAAAAAAAAAAAAAAAAAAAAAAAAAACAACCUGAGCGAAGUUCUUAUGAUUGUGUUGUGACAUCAUGCUUAUCCAUUCUAGCGCUACAUCAGCUAAAUCACACUAUUGCCGCAAUAUAUACGUUUGACGGCAUUGUAUACUUGUCAGUAGCAUAAUGAACUCUAUGACGGCGUUACAAAUCUAUCAUUCAUUUAAUUUUGCGGGGAAAAGUUUUUAAAAUUUCUAAAGUAUUCCUGUUUGUUGAGCUUCUCAGUUGAAUGACGGAUAGCCGGACUUCUUAUUAGUAUAUUUCCACCUCCCAUUUCCACCUUUCCAUUACUUUUCCACCUCCGAUAAGACUGAAAUUUUCCAUAUAUUUUUAAGAAAUAUGUAUGCAUGUAUAUUUCUUUCUCUUUUUUUUCAGAGAUAUUGUUGUAAUAUUAUUAAGUCAUGAUGCCUCAGCGAACAUUGUAGAUCAUAAAGGAUGUACACCUCUUCAUUUAGCUGCUUGGUCUGGAAAUACAGAAAUAGUUCAAGUUCUUUUGAUGCAUGGACCUUCUUUUCCAAGUGUAAAUCAUAUGAAUGAAAACCAAUUUGGAUGUAGGUUCCCAUCCUGGUGCUUCCAACAGCUUCUUCAGAUGCAUCUACAAACACAUAAUUACAUAUGUAAGAUAUAAUAAAAUAUGAUGGCUAUGUUAAGAAAUA
rnacentral:lncRNA from 1 species